rnacentral:rRNA from 1 species
UACAGAGGUCCCAAGCGUUGUUCGGAUUCACUGGGCGUAAAGGGUGCGUAGGUGGUGGGGUAAGUUUGAUGUGAAAGCUCCGGGCUUAACCCGGAAAUGGCAUUGAAUACUAUCUCGCUUGAGGGUUGGAGGGGAGACUGGAAUUCUUGGUGUAGCAGUGAAAUGCGUAGAUAUCAAGAGGAACACCAGUGGCGAAGGCGAGUCUCUGGGACAACUCCUGACACUGAGGCACGAAAGCUAGGGGAGCAAACAGG